rnacentral:lncRNA from 1 species
CCCAUUAAGGAUGUCUGGUCGUACAGGAAAGGGCAGGGGCGACUCCCCACUCUUCAAAACCCUAGAACUUCACUAAUCUUGCAAAUUGAAGGUCCAAUUCAGUCCAAAAUCGAAAUUUAAGCAUGGAUUAUUAAUCCUCAUCACAAGAGGAUUAAAAGUUUGAUCUCGUCAAGCUAAGUGGGAGCUGGAAAGGAAUGGAUCAAACGGAUCAUGGAUGCGAAGAAUGUUUGCGCGGACGCGACGGUAAAACGGCUUAUGGAAUUUACGUGGCUAUGAAUCAGCAAAUUAUUAAGGCAAGGUAUUAAAACGGGUCAAUACUUUGACCCGCGCCAGGUACGCGUAAAUUUGGUGAAAGAUAUGUGAAUACCUUAAUGUAGAAAAAUGACAUGUGAAAGUAGAGAGUAGGAUUUAAACUUAAAUGAUUAAAUCCUCUCUAACGGGUCAAAAUAAGAACUUGAACGUAAAUGGGUUCUAACUAAGUAAGAAACCCAUGAUUUAUGAUUUAUUUGAUAGGAAAUAUUGAAAUUAUGAUUUUCAUGAGUUUAUAGAGCAAGUAAACAUGUUUGUUUGAUAAAAUCGCGAACGGGUUAAAAUUUGGUAAAAAUGGUAAUAAGCCGAAGACUUAAAAGUCUUAAAUUUUGUUAAUUCGGAUGUUGGAUUUUGACUCCAUAUUAUGAAGGGUCAAAUUACAAUCAUGUAGGAAGAAACGGUGGGUCAAACGGAUAAGCGGUUUGAAAGAUACGAAAGUUUUCGUGCCAAUAAACGGCAAAAUAGGAAAGCUGGAAUGCAGGGGCCACCGUAACUUACGGUGUCACCGUAAGUUACGGUGGAGUUGAAGGCUUUACGGCAGCCCCCUACUGAUUUACGGUAGGGGCAUGUCACACCAGGGGCCACCGUAACUUACGGUGCCACCGUAAGUUACGGUGGAGGCCAGUUGGGAAAUCCAUGUUUUGAGAUCAAGAGUUUAACGUUGGGAAUUCUUUUUCCUUCCAUUAUCAUUACCGGAUUUGUUUAGAUUUAUUUCAAUCCACGUAUGACUAAAGCAUUUCAUGUUUAUGAAAUGUAGGUUCAUUUUGGAUGCCGAGAGACGAUCAAGCUCAUCGAAGAACCGAACACGAUAUAGUUACAUGCUUCCGCACUUUGCCACGUUGUAUAUUUUAAACAACGAAUUCGAUCACGUUUUGUAGAAUAACUUAUGAAUUGUAAAAGUUUUAAUUUACUCGAAAUUUUGAUACUUAACCUUAAAUACAUGUUUGUUUUCGUAAAUUAUACGAAAACCUUUAAAAUAAUAACUAGGGUGU